rnacentral:RNase_P_RNA from 1 species
GCAGGUGAACAAGAUGGUCGCUGGUCAUCGUACGAUGACGAGAGGAAAGUCCGGGCUUCACAGGACACAGUGGUGGGUAACUCCCACCGGCUGCAAAGCCAGGGAAAGUGCAACAGAAAGUACACCGCCUGAAUGCAAGUUCGGGUAAGGGUGAAAAGGUGCGGUAAGAGCGCACCAGCGGCGGGGUGACUCGUCGGCUCGGCAAACCCCACUGGAAGCAAGGCCAAGCAGAGAGAAGGACUGGUCCGGUCCGUUUGACUCUCGGGUCGGCUGCUUAAGUUGCCAGGCAACUGGCAAUGUAGAUAGAUGCCCAUCACAUCUCUUGGAGAUGGACAAAACCCGGCUUAUCGUUCACCUGCUGCU